rnacentral:rRNA from 1 species
AUGGAAUUCAAUCCAAUUUGUCUGCUGAAUUUUCCAUAUGUGCAGGCUUCUAUAGUAAUUUGUCUUGAAAAGAUUGAUUAUACGAGCUGUGGCAAGGGAAAACGUCAUGGCAUAAUGCCUGCCGCUAUUUCCACGUCAUCCCCCAAAUUUAAAGUACCUUCACAAAAUCCUGCUUACUUGAAAAUAAACUAUCCAUUUACUGUGAAAAAUGAAGAAGAAACUAGCCAGUGGCAAAAACAUCAGGAGGCCAAACACAGCUAUGCUGUUUGGAUAUAUAAUCUGCUGCUACCUUUAUCUGUAUACUAG